GACGAACGCUGGCGGCGUGCUUAACGCAUGCAAGUCGAACGGAAAGGCCCUGCUUUUGUGGGGUGCUCGAGUGGCGAACGGGUGAGUAACACGUGAGUAACCUGCCCUUGACUUUGGGAUAACUUCAGGAAACUGGGGCUAAUACCGGAUAGGAGCUCCUGCUGCAUGGUGGGGGUUGGAAAGUUUCGGCGGUUGGGGAUGGACUCGCGGCUUAUCAGCUUGUUGGUGGGGUAGUGGCUUACCAAGGGUUUGACGGGUAGCCGGCCUGAGAGGGUGACCGGCCACAUUGGGACUGAGAUACGGCCCAGACUCCUACGGGAGGCAGCAGUGGGGAAUAUUGCACAAUGGGCGGAAGCCUGAUGCAGCAACGCCGCGUGCGGGAUGACGGCCUUCGGAUUGUAAACCGCUUUCGCCUGUGACGAAGCGUGAGUGACGGUAAUGGGUAAAGAAGCACCGGCUAACUACGUG
rnacentral:rRNA from 1 species